CACCACAUCCUUGUGUUCCCUUGGUGUGAUUCAUCUGCAGAUACCAGAACUGCAUAAUUCAUCACAGAUCUUUAUUCCAGAUAUAAUUACACUAAAUCCUGUGGCCUGAGCAGUGUGAAGCCUUCUCUAAGGCAAGCACAAAAGGUGGUGCUGCUCUGGGGUGGUUUGCAGGGUGGUGGGUGCAUGUUUUGAGGUGACAUCUGCAAUGGGAAAACCCAACUGCUGUGGAAUAGAUGAAAGGACAGAGAAGAAGCAAAUUGGGGCAUCACUGUCUUGAGGGAAGGUGCUUGUGUUGGCUGGUGGGCUGAAAGUGAGAGGUUGGACUUGGUUUACCAGCCAGUCUCCUUGUCACCGAGCUCAACAGCCUGGGUUCUUGGGAUGGAAUUCACUCUGAGUGGAUUGGCUCUUCGCUUUCUAAUGCUGGAGGCAUCUCUGGGUUUGUCUUGGAGUUUCUUCAAAGCUCCAGGCACACCAUUGCUCAGGAGUGCCUGUUCUGGCACUGGGCACCAUGCCAGCAGUGGGAAUUCUGGAGAAGACCAGCACAAUUAAAGAUGAGCUCAGUGCCCCCCUUUGGCACAGCAGUUUUAAGAGUGGUGCUACCCAAGGAGAGGACCAGCAGAGCAGACAGCUGGAGCUCUCCCACACAACUUCCCUGGCGCAGCCCGUGCAAGGAGGAUCUCCCUGCUCUGCUGCUGCUCCUGUCACACAGCUGGGCUUCAAAAGAGGAUGCUCCUCUCCCACGUGCUUCAAAGGGAAACCAGGAGCCACAGAACAAUUUACUCCCACUCACAGGGCGAGGGGAAAUCCUCUUCUAACAGGGGAUCAUCCUGUUACAGCGAGGAUGCCUGGUGAUUUAUGGCAUGCAGCUUUAAACCCUCUUUCCCCUCCAAAGAAACACAGGAGACAGCAGAGCUGGAGGGAGAUAGGAGAGAGCUGACAUUGGCAAUGCUUGAAAUAUGGUGUGAGAGCUGGGAAAACCCUUCCUUGCUGUCUUCAUUAGCAUGACUUAAUUAAUAGUUAUAAUCUUAUCAAGCAGAGGUUGCCAUGCAGGAGGGAUGUGCAGGCUGAAAAUCAAAGCUUUAAUAAAUAGAUAUUUUAAGACCAAAAAGCACCACUGUAGUUUUGUCUGGCUUCCUGUGUAAUUGAUGCCAGAAACAGACCUUUCCAACUGAAAAAAAAAAAAAAAAUGGAUUUAAUAGGAAGGUAUUAGUAUUGUGAUAUUUUUGGGUAAUAGUUUUAACAAUCAAAAUUUGAGUAGCUUAUUUUGCAAGAAUCCAACCUAUCUGUACUUGAUUGGCUUUCAUUUUCAUUUUCUGCUCUAAAUGCUCUGUAAAUCCCAAAGAUUGUAUGCUCUGCAGGGCUUAUGCAUUGAUUUAUGCUUAUGAUUAUUUUCUUAAUCUUUUAUUCUACCAUUGAAUCCAAACUUAAAAAGAAUGUUCUCAACCUGGGACAAAGAAAAUUUUCCCUUUUUGAGACCAAAAAGUAUUAAUAUCUGUACCAUCAGUUCUGUUACUGUCUCUGACAUUUUUGUAGAUCUCCCUUCCCAUUUUCUUUGUGUUAGCCUUGGCUGGGUCUUGGAUGUGGUGGCACCUCUUAAUAAUCUCAGAAAUAUUUUGAUAUCUUGAGGUCUGAUGUGGCAGUAAGGGAGGCUGUCCUCACAGGAAUCAAGAAUAAACAGAAUAAAGUGUCAUCCAUGGAAGCUGAAUGGCUGGACAGCUUGAGUCAGGACCCAAAAAAAGGAAAAAAAUUAUCCAUUUAUUGCAGGUGUGAAGUGGAGAAGAGAAAUCCACCUGAGGACCCACAGGGAAGUAAAGACAAAGAAGAUUCAGUCCAUGGUGUGGGCAGUGCAGCACAGGGCAGCCCAGAGAGAGAGUCAGAAGCAGGAGAGAUUAUCCAAAUUUCAAUCAUACAUGGAGCAACUCAUACAAAUGUGAGCUUGCCCACAUCCAGAUUAGAUUAUUCCACAGUCAUUCAUGUCCUAGGUAUUUCUUAAACAGCACCACAGCCUGUGAGAGCUCAUGCUUAUUCAAAAUAUCUUUCAAAUAUAGAGGAAAUAAUGAUUUUAUUCCAGACCAAGUCCAUCAAUCUCAAAGGAUUUUAGUCCAGCACCACUGAGAUCUGAAUUUGCACCAGAAUGUCAAGCACAGGCCAUUAACAGAAGAGAUUUCUCAAUGGUAGAGAGAGAGUAACUGUGAAUUGUAAAGCCACAUCCUUACUGUUGGCCAUAAAUUUGGGUAAACCUCCUCCCCCAGUGAUCUGGGUUCUCACAUCUGUCUCAUCAGGCCAUUUCCCUCUCACUUGUGAAAUAUAUUACAGUAGCCAAAUUACCAAAUGACCUCAAUAAAUUCAGUCAUUCUGCUCUAGGAGAAGAUACCAUGCUGUGGAGAACAGAGUGAGAAUGUUUGGUUUUUUUCUCUCCAGACUUGCAAUUGUUCCCAUUGUGUGUCAAUUUUAUUGGCAGGUGAUUUUUUUUUUCUCCCUUGCUUGGCCCCAGUUUGAAUUUUUGCAUUUUGCUUCCCCUGCAAAUGCCUUUUCCAAUCACUACAUUUUAGCUCAUAUCAAUGAAGUUUGUAUGGGAGAAGAGAAUAAAGCAGGACAGAUCCUCAUCUGGUUCCAUUCCAAGAACCUCCCUGCUGCUCUGCCCAGCUCAGUGCUGUGAACACUGGGCAUAAUCCUACUUUAUAUUUUUGUAGACAGAUUCGCUAAACUGUUUAUGCAUGAAAGAAAUUCCUCCCUAAGUUGUUAGA